ACGGGUGAGUAACACGUAGGUAACCUGCCCGACAGACCGGGAUAACAGUCGGAAACGAUUGCUAAUACCGGAUACGCGAUUCUGUUGCAUGACGGAAUCGGGAAAGGCGGAGUAAUCUGCCACUGACGGAUGGACCUGCGGCGCAUUAGCUAGUUGGUGAGGUAACGGCUCACCAAGGCGACGAUGCGUAGCCGACCUGAGAGGGUGAUCGGCCACACUGGGACUGGGACACGGCCCAGACUCCUACGGGAGGCAGCAGUAGGGAAUCUUCCGCAAUGGGCGAAAGCCUGACGGAGCAACGCCGCGUGAGUGAUGAAGGUUUUCGGAUCGUAAAGCUCUGUUGCCAGGGAAGAACGGUUAGGAGAGUAACUGCUCCUGAUUUGACGGUACCUGAGAAGAAAGCCCCGGCUAACUACGUGCCAGCAGCCGCGGUAAUACGUAGGGGGCAAGCGUUGUCCGGAAUUAUUGGGCGUAAAGCGCGCGCAGGCGGUUUGGAAAGUCUGGUGUUUAAGGCUGAGGCUCAACCUCAGUUCGCACUGGAAACUGUCAGACUUGAGUGCAGAAGAGGAAAGUGGAA
rnacentral:rRNA from 1 species